AAUGAAGUUUAUGAAGUACUUAGGGAUUGGGUGAUUAAUCCUUAGAGAAAUUGUGCCCUCUCAGGGGAUGAUGGACUAAAGGACACCACUGUGUUCUCUUAUCCGAAGCAUCAUGGUCUUAUAUGGAAGACUGGCUUAUGUAUCAUUGAUCUGACCAAGAUGACAUUUUGUUUUUUCAAAAACAUUUUUUAUUUGUUCUUUUUAGAUAUACCAAGAAAACAUUUUUCUUGUAAAUGUGGCACUGAGUGGGGGAAUUCACUUAAAACUAUAGCCAAAGUGACCUGUGACUUUGAAUGUCAAAGAGAGGAUUGGAAUGUAGCCUGAAAAUGUAUUCGUUAUUAAGUGUGCCAGAUACUACACUCAGUGUUUCUCUCUAAAUAGUAUUUUUAUUGUUCCCUUGUUGCAGGUGAAAAAUGGACUUAAAUGGGGAUUGAAGGUGUAGUUCAGUGGUAGAGUACACACUUUGCUUACACAGAACUCUGGGUUCAAUCCCUAGCACUACCCCCCCAUCCCCACAAAAAAGAGGUUAAAUGGAACUUGUUCAAGGUCUCACACAGAGAGUAAGUGGCAGAACUGUCUAACUGAUUCCAGAACCCAUGUGCUUUCCAAUUUAGGAACUUAACAAAUUGUGAUGUACUUUUAUCUGGAAAAAGGACUGGAAAAGAUAUUCUCAGUCCAGAGGAGGGGAAAACCCAAAACAGAGAAGAGUUGCCCUCAGUACCUAUGGCAAGGAACAGAAGGAGCUAAACCUGGCAGAUAAAAUGUGGGUCCCAGGGAAGGUUUCUUGGAUGUGGGUUAGGGAUGAUUCCACAGGCCUCACUGGGUCUUGAUAAAUCUUCUUCACUUUGUUCUUGUCCCAGACCUGCCAGCAACAUUUACAUUAAUCAUUUGUUUUCAUAUAUACCAAAAUUAUCAGAGCUGGAUGCGGUGGUGCAUGCCUGUAAUCCCAGUGGCUCCAGAGGCUAAAGUAGGAGGAUCGAGAGUUCAAAGCCAGCCUCAGCAAAAGCUAGGCACUAAGUAACUCAGUGAGGCCCUGUCUCUAAUAAAAUACAAAACAGGACUGGGGAUGUGGCUCAAUGGGUGAGUGCCCCUAAAUUUAAUCCUCAGUACCUGCUCCCACCAAAAAAAAAAAAACAACAACUCAGAAAAGGAGGGCUUUGGAUAGUGGAUAUGAUCACUUUAGUCACUGGAAAGGACUGGUAUUUCAAACCCUCAUUCAGCCCAACUCUUCAUUCUCUAACAGGUUUCUAUGUUAGUCUCAAGUUAGCUGGGGUAGGAUGAGUUGGUUCCUCUGGUCUGUUCAGUUCUAGGGUAGUGAUAAGAUCCAGUUUGCAAAGAUGAGACCCACACUUUUGGUGGUGACAUUGGCAGCAAGAUGGAGGUUCUAGGGGAGCAAUCACAGGGCCAGGUGCCAGCAAUGAAGGUGGAGGCUGCAGGGUUAUGCCCAGUAGUGGAGGUAGCAGGGGCAUCUUACAUGAUAUAGGAGUGUCCCAUGAUUUUGAAUGCUGUAGUAGUAUUUUAAGCUGGGUUUGGUUUUUCAGACCUCCUGCUGAAUUUGAACUAUCCAUCCAUUUACAUUAACUCUGUUCCUUUGUCAGGAUUCUAGACUUGUAUGCUUAUGUGCACAUAGUCAAAGCAGAUUAAGAUUAGAAAACCAAUUGAAAGGGUAACUAGGCCAGGCUGUCAUAGCAUCCUCAACCUGGUCUAUUUUCACCUAGAUUAGAUUUUUCUUAGGAUUGAUGGUAGAAAAGGAAAAUGUUUUAGUAAGUUUGGGGUUGUUAAAAUUGGUACAGUAUUAGAUACCAUUUUGCUUUUAGUUAUCACCUACUUUCUUUGCCUAAUGGGAAUUUUCCUAAAUAUUUCUGGGGAAAAUUUAACCCUGCCAGAAUUUAUUGAAAAAUACAACUCAUCCCCAAAUAACAUGGAGCUGGGGACAUGGUUCAGUGAUAAAGUUCCUUGGCAUAUGUAUGGAUUUGAUCCUCAGCACCAAAAAAAAAAAAAAAGAAAUGAGAACCUGUCAGGAGCUGCCACAUGGGAACUGAGUGCCCCUUAGCUUUGAGUGAUUAGAGUGGGGAGAUGUGGCAAGCCAGCCAUGGGCUGUGUGUGUGUGUGUGUGAACUAUGAGCAUUGAGUGCACAGGGUGGACUGAACCGAUGUUGCUCCUCUGUUUGGGCGGGCGAUGUAUCCGUCUUUUUGCUCCUUCUGCCUAUGAUCCCCACACAGCCCAUGAGAUGGGCGUGACCUUCCUAGAUGUCAGUCAACCUUCUGACAGCAAGACAUCACAAAUCAACCCCCUGAAACCCUAAGCAAGACUCAACCCCCUGAAACUGGUCCCCUUGCCUCAUUUAAAUGGCUUAUCCCCAAUAAAAGGGUUCAGUACGUGCUGAACUAAUACUGGUAGGCUCUCUUUCUUGCCUGCCUUGCCCCCCUUAUGGGAGCUGUGGCUGAGGAGCAGUCACUGAACCCAAAGAAAAGGUACUUUCUGUGUCUGUGUCUUAUUUAUUCCCCAAAUUCACUUGGAGUAACCCUGACCGGUUUAGUUGUGUGAUGUGACAAGAACCUUAAACCAUGACUCUAUGUAGCAGAUUAGUAAUGCCCAGUCAUUACACCAGCAAUCAUUUUAGCUCUUUAUUUCUAUAUGUACAUUUCUUAGCACUAUACACACAUGGAUGAUUCCAGUUGGCUUUGCCUUAUUUCUUUGUUUUUAUCAGUUUGCUCUUAGGAACACUUGGAAAUAGAGGAAUGGUUAAAAGCACAGGAGAAUGUGGAUGAUAUACAGAUUUGGAUUUAAUGUGGGAAUGAAAGGGAUGAUGGGAAAUGUUGCAGCUUUGUCAUGGUUUCUAU
rnacentral:lncRNA from 1 species